rnacentral:rRNA from 1 species
CGGACGGGUGAGUAAUGUCUGGGAAACUGCCCGAUGGAGGGGGAUAACUACUGGAAACGGUAGCUAAUACCGCAUAACGUCGCAAGACCAAAGAGGGGGACCUUAGGGCCUCUUGCCAUCGGAUGUGCCCAGAUGGGAUUAGCUAGUAGGUGGGGUAACGGCUCACCUAGGCGACGAUCCCUAGCUGGUCUGAGAGGAUGACCAGCCACACUGGAACUGAGACACAGUCCAG